UACGGAGGGUGCAAGCGUUAUCCGGAUUUACUGGGUUUAAAGGGUGCGUAGGUGGAAUUAUAAGUCAGUGGUGAAAGCCUCGAGCUCAACUCGUGAAUUGCCAUUGAUACUGUUUUUCUUGAGUACGAUUGAGGUGAGUAGAAUAUGUCAUGUAGUGGUGAAAUACUUAGAUAUGACAUAGAAUACCGAUUGCGAAGGCAGCUCACUAAAUCGUAACUGACGCUGAGGCACGAAAGCGUGGGGAUCAAACAGG
rnacentral:rRNA from 2 species